UACGGGAGGCAGCAGUGGGGAAUAUUGCACAAUGGGCGAAAGCCUGAUGCAGCUAUGCCGCGUGUAUGAAGAAGGCCUUAGGGUUGUAAAGUACUUUCAUCGGGGAGGAAAAACAAAACUAAUAAUUUUAUUUCUUGACGUUACCCGAAAAAGAAGCACCGGCUAACUCCGUGCCAGCAGCCGCGGUAAUACGGAGGGUGCUAGCGUUAAUCAGAAUUACUGGGCGUAAAGAGCACGUAGGUGGUUUUUUUAAAGUCAGAUGUGAAAUCCCUGGGCUUAACCUAGGAACUGCAUUUUGAAACUGAAAUACUAGAGUAUCGUAGAGGGAGGUAGAAUUCUAGGUGUAGCGGUGAAAUGCGUAGAUAUCUGGAGGAAUACCUGUGGCGAAAGCGGCCUCCUAAACGAAUACUGACACUGAGGUGCGAAAGCGUGGGGAGCAAACAGGAUUAGAUA
rnacentral:rRNA from 1 species